UACAGAGGUCUCAAGCGUUGUUCGGAUUCAUUGGGCGUAAAGGGUGCGUAGGCGGCGCGGUAAGUCGGGUGUGAAAUCUCGGAGCUUAACUCCGAAACUGCAUUCGAUACUGCCGUGCUUGAGGACUGGAGAGGAGACUGGAAUUUACGGUGUAGCGGUGAAAUGCGUAGAUAUCGUAAGGAAGACCAGUGGCGAAGGCGGGUCUCUGGACAGUUCCUGACGCUGAGGCACGAAGGCCAGGGGUAGCAAACGGG
rnacentral:rRNA from 1 species